GACGAACGCUGGCGGCGUGCCUAAUACAUGCAAGUCGAGCGAGUCUGCCUUGAAGAUCGGAGUGCUUGCACUCUGUGAAACAAGAUACAGGCUAGCGGCGGACGGGUGAGUAACACGUGGGUAACCUGCCCAAGAGAUCGGGAUAACACCUGGAAACAGAUGCUAAUACCGGAUAACAACAGAUGAUGCCUAUCAACUGUUUAAAAGAUGGUUCUGCUAUCACUCUUGGAUGGACCUGCGGUGCAUUAGCUAGUUGGUAGGGUAACGGCCUACCAAGGCGAUGAUGCAUAGCCGAGUUGAGAGACUGAUCGGCCACAUUGGGACUGAGACACGGCCCAAACUCCUACGGGAGGCAGCAGUAGGGAAUCUUCCACAAUGGACGCAAGUCUGAUGGAGCAACGCCGCGUGAGUGAAGAAGGGUUUCGGCUCGUAAAGCUCUGUUGUUGGUGAAGAAGGACAGGGGUAGUAACUGACCUUGUUGACGGUAUCAAUA
rnacentral:rRNA from 1 species